rnacentral:miRNA from 14 species
UCUGUUCUUGAGGGGUUCAGAUUCUAAUUGUGAGAGACCUGGGUUGGAAAUCUGGCUUGGCCUUUAAUAUAUUUGUUGGGUUUUGCUUCAUAAAUGACAGU